rnacentral:tRNA from 3 species
GGGGAAUUAGCUCAGUUGGUAGAGCGCCUGCUUUGCACGCAGGAAGUCAGGAGUUCGAGUCUCCUAUUCUCCA